AUUGAACGCUGGCGGCAGGCUUAACACAUGCAAGUCGAGCGGAGCGAGGGUGCUUGCACCUUAGCUUAGCGGCGGACGGGUGAGUAAUGCUUAGGAAUCUGCCUAUUAGUGGGGGACAACAUUCCGAAAGGAAUGCUAAUACCGCAUACGCCCUACGGGGGAAAGCAGGGGAUCUUCAGACCUUGCGCUAAUAGAUGAGCCUAAGUCGGAUUAGCUAGUUGGUGGGGUAAAGGCCUACCAAGGCGGCGAUCUGUAGCGGGUCUGAGAGGAUGAUCCGCCACACUGGGACUGAGACACGGCCCAGACUCCUACGGGAGGCAGCAGUGGGGAAUAUUGGACAAUGGGCGGAAGCCUGAUCCAGCCAUGCCGCGUGUGUGAAGAAGGCCUUUUGGUUGUAAAGCACUUUAAGCGAGGAGGAGGCUACUUAGAUUAAUACUCUGGGAUAGUGGACGUUACUCGCAGAAUAAGCACCGGCUAACUCUGUGCCAGCAGCCGCCGCAGUAA
rnacentral:rRNA from 1 species